CAAACCCCUAGUCGAUCAGAGUUGCUAUGUAUGGUGAAGAAGAAUUCAAAGAUGUUAGGGCAAACCAUAGUGGAAGAUGAAACAUCAGAUGUUGAAACGGAUCCACGUUUCUGGCAUGGCGUUAUGGAUGUGUAUUUCAUUCGUGGAAGGGAGUCUAGGGGGCGUCAGGAGGAUGAUCUUGUAUUCUUUGUAAAAAAAUUGCAUUUGCAGAAACAUGGGUCAAAUGAAAACGAAUCUGCAAACUCUCCAUACUUUGUACGCAGUUGGAUGACUUAAUUGGUGCAAGUGCAUCAGAUGUUGAUUGGAGGCGCUCCUUUUACUUGAACUUAAUUGCUCAAACUUCUUUUAGUGUGACGGUUGCAAUUUGCAGUCAACAGGUCCUUCAGAAUUACCAGACUGGAAAAGACCGGCCACUAUCUCCUAUAUACAAGGUUGUCAAAACAGUCUACGCAUCUCCAAGUCGUAUCAAUUUUCAUUUGGACUCAAGAAAG
rnacentral:misc_RNA from 1 species